AGUGCUACGGCUAUUGAAGGAUGGUGCCGACCCUCAUACGCUUGUUUCCUCAGGAGGCUCCUUGCUCCAUCUGUGUGCCCGCUAUGAUAAUGCGUUUUCUGCAGAAAUUCUAAUUGACAGAGGAGCAAAUGUCAAUCAUCAAGAUGAGGAUUUUUGGACAUCAAUGCAUGUAGCCUGUGCAUGUGAUAAUCCUGAUAUUGUCCUGAUACUGCUACUAGCUGGAGCAAAUGUGCUGCUGCAAGAUGUUAAUGGAAACACUGCACUUGAUUAUGCCAUAGAAGGGACUGAAUCUAGCAGCAUCCUUCUGAUGUACUUGGAAGAAAACGGU